rnacentral:rRNA from 1 species
UGGGGAAUAUUGCGCAAUGGGCGAAAGCCUGACGCAGCGACGCCGCGUGAGGGACGAAGGCCUUCGGGUCGUAAACCUCUUUCAGCAGGGACGAAGCGCAAGUGACGGUACCUGCAGAAGAAGCACCGGCUAACUACGUGCCAGCAGCCGCGGUAAUACGUAGGGUGCAAGCGUUGUCCGGAAUUAUUGGGCGUAAAGAGCUCGUAGGCGGCUUGUCACGUCUGCUGUGAAAACUCGGGGCUCAACCCCGAGCCUGCAGUGGAUACGGGCUAGCUAGAGUGCGGUAGGGGAGACUGGAAUUCCUGGUGUAGCGGUGAAAUGCGCAGAUAUCAGGAGGAACACCGGUGGCGAAGGCGGGUCUCUGGACCGAUACUGACGCUGAGGAGCGAAAGCGUGGGGAGCGAACAG